GAGACAUAAGACAGAAGUCUAAAUUCUGUAAUUAAUGUAAAUUAGGAUUAUGAGAAAUGUAAUUAAUAUGGGUAUGAAAUGUCAAAUUCAUAAUAAAAAAUGAAAAUAUGCUGGUUAGGUAUGUUUUGAUGCUGGGAUGCUGCUUUAAACUGGUCCUUAUUUAGAUUUAAAAGAAAUCGAAUUAUUGUGACAUAUAUGAUAGAUCGUUGCUUUUAAUGUACAAUAAAAUGAACGUGAAUAAAUAACGUUUACACAUAAAAAACGCAGUGGCAGGCAAUCGUUCAAUAGGCGUUUGAUGACAUGACUGAUCAGCUCAGCACGUGAUCUUUAGAAGGCUAAUUGACAGAGGCCUGACUGAUUUAACAGCUAUACAAAUACUAUUUGCUUUAAGGCUGUCAGGUCAAGUAAAUUCGGUGGAGGAGGAUGAAAACAGGGCAGGAUUGACAGAGGGCACAUGGUGUUUCUGCAGACUGUCCAUGUGAAGGAAAGCCUGCAGUGGGCCAAAAUCCAAAUGCACAAUAUUUCCGUUGUGCAAUGGCACAAACACAUGCAUCAGUGGCCUGAUCUGUUGACCCAGUGCUCUCGGCUGUUCGGAAUAAACCAGCUGACCUGUUUACGCAAGCCUCCAUGAGCUCAAAAAGGGGACAAAGGGGAAGCCGAAUCCAUAGGACUGUGUUACUGUUGGGACUGCUGUUGUUUGGGGAUCAUUAGCUCCACCACUGCCCCACCUUUCCACCGACACUGGAGCCAUUGCACUGGCAUUUCAAAGCUCACAAAACAGGUUAUGACACUGGCUUCAAAAAUAGAGGUUAUUAUUAAUAGUGUUCAUGUGAGGCGGCUGGCAUUGGUUGCAUUGGCCUAUUUCACUCAGCACACUUUAGAGGCACGCAUUUCUUUCAUUCCCAGUAUUAACCAGUUGGGUUAAUAUGGGUUAAUAAAUUGGGUUGAUAUUUAUUAGCAAUAUAUCUUCAUAUUUAUCAACAUGAUACACUGCAAUGUAAGCUUUUAUAAAGCAACAAAUAAUGUGCUUGUGUUUUGACAACUAGCUACAAUUCAGGGAUUGGUUUUCAUCUAAAUCACUAAAUCUUUUUAACCCAUAUUACAAUAUAUACUUGCAUAUAUGCUAGUUCUGUGACCGAUAUAUUUUGUUUAACCUUUAUAUACAGACACUAGUACAAUGUUCUAUAUUCUUGCCGCAUUAAAUCUCUGUUAUAGACCGAGUGCUCUAGUUCUGCUGUGUUUGUAGUGUUGACCAGGUCAGGGUGUUUCUGAUCAGACAGUCUGGUGUCUCAGGAGAGAUCUAAAUCCCCUCAGUCCAAUCCCUCAUUCUGUCCUGGUGUUUUCUCGCUCUCCCUCUGUGCCAGAUUCAUUUUGAAUAGACUCUUAUGUCAGCUCUGUGUUUGGGACCUGUCUGUCUGCUUCUGUGUCCUCACAAACAAAUUGUGUAACAUCCUCUUUGUUGAAAUGUAAUCUGAAUGUAAUCAGAACAAGGGCUUCGGUGUUA